AACGAACGCUGGCGGCAGGCCUAACACAUGCAAGUCGAGCGAGGACUUCGGUCCUAGCGGCGGACGGGUGAGUAACGCGUGGGAACGUGCCCUUUGCUUCGGAAUAGCCCUGGGAAACUGGGAGUAAUACCGGAUGAGCCCUUAGGGGGAAAGAUUUAUCGGCGAAGGAUCGGCCCGCGUUGGAUUAGGUAGUUGGUGGGGUAAUGGCCUACCAAGCCGACGAUCCAUAGCUGGUUUGAGAGGAUGAUCAGCCACACUGGGACUGAGACACGGCCCAGACUCCUGCGGGAGGCAGCAGUAGGGAAUCUUAGACAAUGGGGGAAACCCUGAUCUAGCCAUGCCGCGUGAGCGAUGAAGGCCUUAGGGUUGUAAAGCUCUUUCAGCUGGGAAGAUAAUGACGGUACCAGCAGAAGAAGCCCCGGCUAACUCCGUG
rnacentral:rRNA from 1 species